rnacentral:rRNA from 1 species
UACAGAGGUCUCCAGCGUUGUUCGGAUUCAUUGGGCGUAAAGGGUGCGUAGGUGGCGUGGUAAGUCGGGUGUGAAAUUUCGGAGCUUAACUCCGAAACUGCAUUCGAUACUGCUGUGCUUGAGGACUGGAGAGGAGACUGGAAUUUACGGUGUAGCAGUGAAAUGCGUAGAGAUCGUAAGGAAGACCAGUGGCGAAGGCGGGUCUCUGGACAGUUCCUGACACUGAGGCACGAAGGCCAGGGGAGCAAACGGG